UUUCACUCAGUGAUGUGAAAUGUGUAUGUUCUAUUUCUAUGUAUGUAUAUUUUCACUCAAUGAUGUGAAAUGUGUAUGUUCUAUUUCUAUGUAUGUAUAUUUUCACUCAGUGAUGUGAAAUGUGUAUGUUCUAUUUCUUUGUAUGUAUAUUUUC